rnacentral:rRNA from 1 species
UACAGAGGGUGCAAGCGUUAAUCGGAAUUACUGGGCGUAAAGCGUGCGUAGACGGUUAUGUAAGUCGGGUGUGAAAGCCCCGGGCUCAACCUGGGAAUUGCAUUCGAGACUGUGUAGCUAGGGUACGGAAGAGGGAAGCGGAAUUUCGAGGUGGUAGCGGUGAAAUGCGUAGAUAUCUGAAGGAACACCAGUGGCGAAAGCGGCUUCCUGGUCCAGUACCGACGUUCAGGCACGAAAGCGUGGGGAGCAAACAGG